rnacentral:rRNA from 1 species
CCUACGGGUGGCAGCAGUGAGGAAUAUUGGUCAAUGGGCGCGAGCCUGAACCAGCCAAGUCGCGUGAGGGAUGAAGGUUCUAUGGAUCGUAAACCUCUUUUAUAAGGGGAUAAAGUGUGGGACGUGUCCUCUUUUGUAUGUACCUUAUGCAUAAGGAUCGGCUAACUCCGUGCCAGCAGCCGCGGUAAUACGGAGGGUCCGAGCGUUAUCCGGAUUUAUUGGGUUUAAAGGGUGCGUAGGCGGGCUGUUAAGUCAGCGGUGAAAGUCUGUGGCUCAACCAUAGAAUUGCCGUUGAAACUGGGGGGCUAGAGUAUGGUAGAGGCAGGCGGAAUGCGAGGUGUAGCGGUGAAAUGCUUAGAUAUCACGCAGAACCCCGAUGGCGAAGGCAGCCUGCCAAGCCAUGACUGACGCUGAUGCGCGAAAGCGUGGGGAUCAAACAGGAUUAGAUACCCGUGUAGUC